UACGAAGGGGGCUAGCGUUGCUCGGAAUGACUGGGCGUAAAGGGCGCGUAGGCGGUUUGUACAGUCAGGUGUGAAAUUCCCGGGCUCAACCUGGGGGCGGCACUUGAGACGUAGAACUGGAGUGAGGAAGAGGGUCGUGGAAUUCCCAGUGUAGAGGUGAAAUUCGUAGAUAUUGGGAAGAACACCGGUGGCGAAGGCGGCGACCUGGUCCUUUUACUGACGCUGAGGCGCGAAAGCGUGGGGAGCAAACAGG
rnacentral:rRNA from 1 species